UUCGAUCGAGUAUCAACAGCUUCAUAGUCUGCAUUUGAAUCUCCUCGUAUUUCACGAUCAGGAUUAGCAUAAAACUGAAGAAGAAGAAAAGGAGUAGGAGAAAGAAGACAAUAUACCUCUUACGGACGAUGAUAAUUGUCGAAAAAAUUCCAACAGUUAGGAAGACACCCAAGACAAUGAAUAACAUUUUUUCACCAAUUGGAACCGUUCUACCUGUUUCAGCUUUGUCCACAAAACAAAUAUUUUUUAGUCAAUAAAUAUGCAGAAAAGUAA